CCAGACCAUUGCCAGACACAUCCAGGACUCCUAGACAUUGUUGGAGGCCAAUCUGAAGAUAUUACUGAUGAGAAUCAGGAAACAGGAGUAACCUAAGCUGUUAUGACCCUGGUGGUCGGCCUAUCAAGAAAUCUGUUAUUUUCAUCAGAAGUCUUAUGUAAAUUUCAAUUGGUAUGGAGUAUUUUUCUUACAAUUUGGGAUAUUUAGAUUUCUUUGGCUCCAAAGAAAAUGUUAAUUAUGUCAUCUGACACAUUGAUAAUUCUAUGCUGGGUCAAACAAUGGUGCUGCAGUAGUUUAGGUAUGUGCAAAACAUGAUUUUGAAUAGUUUUGAGUUAUGCCCCUUAGGCAUCCUAGGAUCUGCUGUUGAUAAUGUUAUGACUACCGCAUCCUUUGGCUAUUGUUACCAGAAAUUGGUUAUUGGUUUGAAAAUAUGACCUGUAUAAAGUUUCAGAUCUUCUCACAAUAACUGACAGUGACUUUAUAACUUAAUGCUUUUAAACAUGUUCAAAGUGCCAUGUUUAAAUUCAGUUCUAUCACUCAUUGUGAUGUCAUGGAUGGUGGGUUAGCUCAGUGGUCAAAUCGCUAGCCUGUCAUGUCAAACACCUGUGUUUCAUUCGCCACGGGUACAAUGUGUGAGGCCCUUUUCUGGUGUCCCCUGCUGUGAUAUUGCUGGAAUAUUGCUAAAAGCAGUGUAAAACCAUACUCACUCACUCACUCACUCCAUUAUUAUGUUGUUGUAACUACAACUUCCUUGUGGAGCCAAAUGAUGACAAACUUGGUUAUAUCUCUAAGCCAAUGGGAUGCUAGGACACAAACGCUAUUCCUCAAGCGAAUAACCAUUGAUAGAUGAUUAAUGACAUAACACUUGCAAUGUUACUUUCAUAAGUAUGUAUAAUACAGAAUAAUUUGAAGACAGUAUAUUAUUGUUUGACAUUUUGUUCUGAGAAGCAUGUUUUAGGUGAAAUGUUCAAAGUAUUGUAUGACAUCCUUUAUUGUGUGAUAGCCUUUAUUGUUAUGGCCUUUAUUGUAUAUCCUUUAUCGUGUGAUAUCCUUAUUAAUAUGAUAUCCUUUAUUAUAUGAGAUCCUUUAUUGUGUGAUAUCCUUUCUUUUAUGAUGAUAUCCUGUACCUCCAUUGUAAAAAAUCAUUGGAUCAUGUAGUUGCUGAACCCCAGAAAAGAGAUGUUAUCCACAAAACUACUUAUAAGGACAAUUGCAGUUGGUGACUUGAGACAGAUUUAAAUUUAAUAUUGCUGAAGUAUUGUGUUUCAUAUGAAGUGGAAGGUUGGUCUUGAAAGGCCUCGACACUUAUGUAACAGGGUAUUUGUACUAUAGUUCUCUGGAGGAAUUAUUCCCAUGGAAAUUUGCCCAUUAUGCAUCUGCACUGGCCAUGUGUGUUCUGAAUGGAACUUUUUUUCAGGUGGAACUGAUCAUCAGUGACACUUACUCUGAGCAUAGUUGACUAUGGCUCUUUAAUUUGCUCCCCAACUAUGGGUUUGAAUCUGAGAUUUGGCUGGUUCUAUUCUUGUUAUUUUCAAUCUGUUGGUGGGUUUCAUCACAGUGAUAUAUGUCAGUGAUCCUGAAUCAGUUGUGGUUCUUCCAUCAAACAGGCCCUGGGCCUCCUUUCACAAAGCACCAAGGUGAUCGUAAGUCAAUACAGUAACCUCAGUGCAGUGUUAAAGAAUGGGAGUUAAGGUUAACCUUAGUUAAGGUUGCUUCGUGAAAGGAGCCCCUGAUGUUACACAAAUACUCAAUCACUCUGCUAACUCCAUCACAUCACUUUGGUAGGAUGAUUCUUUAAGAGACGGGGGGCGGUGGGGUAGCCUAGUGGUUAAAGCGUUGGCU